rnacentral:rRNA from 1 species
GCGGCGGANGGGUGAGUAAUGCCUAGGAAUCUGCCUGGUAGUGGGGGAUAACGUUCCGAAAGGAACGCUAAUACCGCAUACGUCCUACGGGAGAAAGCGGGGGAUCUUCGGACCUCGCGCUAUCAGAUGAGCCUAGGUCGGAUUAGCUAGUUGGUGAGGUAAUGGCUCACCAAGGCGACGAUCCGUAACUGGUCUGAGAGGAUGAUCAGUCACACUGGAACUGAGACACGGUCCAGACUCCUACGGGAGGCAGCAGUGGGGAAUAUUGGACAAUGGGCGAAAGCCUGAUCCAGCCAUGCCGCGUGUGUGAAGAAGGUCUUCGGAUUGUAAAGCACUUUAAGUUGGGAGGAAGGGUAUUCACCUAAUACGUGAGUAUUUUGACGUUACCGACAGAAUAAGCACCGGCUAACUUCGUGCCAGCAGCCGCGGUAAUACGAAGGGUGCAAGCGUUAAUCGGAAUUACUGGGCGUAAAGCGCGCGUAGGUGGUUCGUUAAGUUGGAUGUGAAAGCCCCGGGCUCAACCUGGGAACUGCAUCCAAAACUGGCGAGCUAGAGUACGGUAGAGGGUAGUGGAAUUUCCUGUGUAGCGGUGAAAUGCGUAGAUAUAGGAAGGAACACCAGUGGCGAAGGCGACUACCUGGACUGAUACUGACACUGAGGUGCGAAAGCGUGGGGAGCAAACAGGAUUAGAUACCCUGGUAGUCCACGCCGUAAACGAUGUCAACUAGCCGUUGGAAUCCUUGAGAUUUUAGUGGCGCAGCUAACGCAUUAAGUUGACCGCCUGGGGAGUACGGCCGCAAGGUUAAAACUCAAAUGAAUUGACNGGGGGCCCGCACAAGCGGNNGAGCAUGNNGUU